GCGCCCUCCUGCAUUGAUCGUCAGCUGCGCCCUCCUGAAUUGAUCGUUAGCUGCGCCCUCACCAUCCUCGUCUCUCUGCGCUCACAUCGUCGAGAAGGUAUCUAUAGAUUUCUGUAUGGUUCUGAAAUUUGGGUGGUUAGGGUUCCAAUUUUAGGGUUUUUAAUUUGGGGAUUU